UGACAGAAACUGGAGAGGAGAGAAUAUUAGGCUGUUCAAAAAAAUAGUAGUGUCUCCAUUUUUCUUUUUGACCCUUGUUACACCCUUACAGGUGGCCCUUAUUUAAGGACUAAGGCAGUAAAUGUUGUGCACGCUGGCUGUAGUUCAUUUCUCUCCGAUCUGAGUAAAAUGGGUCGUUCCAGACAUUGUUCAGAAGAACAGUGUACUUUGAUUAAAAAGUUGAUUGCAAAAAGGGAAAACAUAUAAAGAAGUGCAGAAAUGAUAGGUUGCUCAGCUAAAAUAAUCUC